rnacentral:lncRNA from 1 species
ACAAUCACCCUUAUGAUAUUUCAAACUUAACUAUUUUCAUAGCAUAUUGGCUAGAAAUACUUUUUUAAUAUUAUUAAAAAUAUGAUAAAGCAAUCACUUAUCACCUUAGGGAUCUGGGUUCAGUUCUGGAAGAUUUUAUACUUUGAGUCCAGAUUCAAUUCCAGAUUAUUUUAUCAUCUUGAGGAUCCAGAAUCAAAUCCAGAUAAUUAUAUCAACUUAAAAGAUUCAGUAUUCCAUUGUCUGUUAUUACUACUAAAAUUAUUAACAUUACGGAUCAUUUUUGAUUUACAAUGAGAUUAUCAAA